ACUUACAAGUCAAUAACUGAGAGGACUUGUAAGUGACACAGGGGCAUGUGGCAUCAACAGCAUGGAUUUUCUGGAUGAAGGGGUGUUUCAUGUCCAGAGCAGGACAAAGUGAGAUGCCACAAGAUUUCAUCAAGCUACUCACAAUGGCAUGCAACUGAAAACAUGAAUGGUUUAUUUCUGGAAUUUUUCAUUUAAUGUUUUUGGAUAAUGGUUGAUGGCUAGUAACUGAAACUUCAGAAAGCGAAACCAAGGAUAAGGGGGAACAUCUUUAUUGUCUAACAUCCAGUACAUAGAUAAAUUUCUGUAAUUGUUCCAGAGCUAUGUCUUUUAGCUAGUUUGUUCAAGCCAGGAUUCAUUCAAGGACUAAAUAUUUCAUCUUGUUGUUUUGUUUCUAAAGCCUUUUUUAAAUUUGCUAAAGUUUCCCUUCCUUAAAUUCUGUCUUUUAUUCUAUAUAUCAGCUUAUUGAAAAGACUGGGACUUGUAGGUGUUCUCAUUUUCUGUUUUUUUUUCUUUUUUAAUUAGUUGCUUAUUCUUUUGUUUGAUUUGUUCCUCUAUACCUUGUAUUUUCUGUAAACUCAUCCAAAGAAGUGACAGAUUUAACAUUUUUGGCAAGUGUACUUCUUUAGUGGUGCUGGAAAGCUCCUAUUUAUAAUGGAAAAAUAGUAGAAUAAACCUAAGGUUUUAAUUUGUUUUUGCAAGGAUAAUAUCAUUUCUGAUUUUAUGGCAACUAAUGGCUUCAAAUGCUAAGAACUUUGGAAGAUUUUCUUAUUCAUUAGGUGACAAUCUGGAUCAACUGCUAGGCAGUUAAAAGUUUCAAGAGCUAUAAUAUGGAAUAAACUUUGCAAAAAUUCUGAUGUCAAGAGGUUUCCACUUCAGUUAAUAAAAUUAAAAGGAUCAAAAGGGGUUCCGAGAAAUCUACAAACCAGACUGGAAAACAUGUUUCUACUCUGGAUGACACACACUCAAUGGAAGCUUCACAACUAAGAAACAUAUUCUCAACAAAAAAAAGAAAAAAGACAUCUGCUUAGUUUGGACAUCAUAUGGGAAUUUCUCCUUGGGAUCUACUCAAGUUGUUGGCUGAAGAGUGGAUGGUCAAGGAAAGCCUCAGUUGGCAGUCUGGAGACUGGCAUCCUGUCAGCCACAGUGAAAGCAACAACUAGAACUCGUGUGACCUAUGUUAACCAGCAUAUACAGAAAGUGGUAUUCUGGGAAAGUACACUUCAGCAUAACCCCACUGACUCUUUACAAAGCAGCAUAAUGCAACAAAGCCAUGGAAACAGCAGACAAUGUUAA
rnacentral:lncRNA from 13 species